GAGGGUAUAGCUCAGCGGCAGAGUGUGUGCUUAGCAUGCACGAGGUCCUGGGUUCAAUCCCCAGCACCUCUA
rnacentral:tRNA from 1 species